rnacentral:snRNA from 1 species
AUACUUGCCUGGCAGGGGAGAUACCAUGAUCACGAAGGUGGUUUUCCCAGGGUGAGGCUUAUUUAUUGCACUGUGGAUGGGCUGACCCCUGUGAUUUCCUCAAAUGUGGGGAAUUCUACUGCAUAAUUUGUGGUAGUGGGGGACUGUGUGCUCUCCUG